GUGCUUACGUGGCAAGGGAGACACCAUGAUCAAGAAGAUAGUUUGCCCAGGGUGAGACACAUCCUUUGCUCUUUGGGUGUGCUGACCCCUGCAAUUUCCCCAAAUGCGGGAAAUUCAACUGCACAAUUUGUGGUAGUGGGGGACUGCAUCCAUGCUUUA
rnacentral:snRNA from 1 species